AUGCGCACGUGGUCAGUAUUUG
rnacentral:misc_RNA from 1 species